rnacentral:lncRNA from 1 species
CAAGAAGGCCUCUGAUAGCAAAUUUCUUUACUCGCUAUACUCUACUAGACAUUAUUAAUAACAACACAAUUCUUUCUUUUUUUAUUUUUAUAUAUUCUUAUAAACAUUAGUCAAUUACAUAGAGCUAUCAUAUUUUUUUAAUUGGAAGGCGGAUAGAACUUAGGGUUAUCCAACGCAUCGGAACAACAUUCGUAUAUCAUGGGAUAUCAACAUCUUUGUCGACGUUACUUCGUUCCCCGUGUUUUACCUG